AUGGCGCGCGGAAAGGUGGCCGAGUGGAUACGGAAGCGUACCAUGCCGAGGAAGCCGGGGGCCAGGCAACAGAGCAGGAACAGCGGGGCGUCGGAAGAAUGCGGCCGUGAGCACGGGAGCGGGAAUGGUGCUGGCGGUGGCGGUGCUCCACCGGCGCAUUCCAAGUCCCAGGCGAGGGCCUCCCUGUCGGCGCUUAUGAGGUGGCGGCGGCGCAUGAACGUGAUGGCCGUGCUGUGGGACCAUGUGGUGUACCACGUCAUGUGGCUGGUGGAGUCCGUGGUGUUGGUGGGCAGGCUCUGCUUCUUCCUCAUGCGCUUCGGCCUCAAGCAGCUCUGA
rnacentral:rRNA from 1 species